rnacentral:rRNA from 1 species
AUUGAACGCUGGCGGCAGGCCUAACACAUGCAAGUCGAGCGGUAACACAGGGAGCUUGCUCCUGGGUGACGAGCGGCGGACGGGUGAGUAAUGUCUGGGAAACUGCCUGAUGGAGGGGGAUAACUACUGGAAACGGUAGCUAAUACCGCAUAACGUCGCAAGACCAAAGAGGGGGACCUUCGGGCCUCUUGCCAUCAGAUGUGCCGAGAUGGGAUUAGCUAGUAGGUGGGGUAACGGCUCACCUAGGCGACGACCCCUAGCUGGUCUGAGAGGAUGACCAGCCACACUGGAACUGAGACACGGUCCAGACUCCUACGGGAGGCAGCAGUGGGGAAUAUUGCACAAUGGGCGCAAGCCUGAUGCAGCCAUGCCGCGUGUAUGAAGAAGGCCUUCGGGUUGUAAAGUACUUUCAGCGGGGAGGAAGGCGAUAAGGUUAAUAACCUUGUCGAUUGACGUUACCCGCAGAAGAAGCACCGGCUAACUCCGUGCCAGCCGCCGCGGUAA